UCCCUGAUGGUCUAGUGGCUAAGACUCUAUACUCCCAAUGCCGGGGGUCUGGGUUCAAUCCCUGAUCAGGGAA
rnacentral:tRNA from 1 species